rnacentral:rRNA from 1 species
AUUGAACGCUGGCGGCAUGCUUUACACAUGCAAGUCGAACGGCAGCGCGGGCUUCGGCCUGGCGGCGAGUGGCGAACGGGUGAGUAAUACAUCGGAACGUGCCCAGUAGUGGGGGAUAGCUCGGCGAAAGCCGGAUUAAUACCGCAUACGACCUGAGGGUGAAAGCGGGGGAUCUUCGGACCUCGCGCUCUUGGAGCGGCCGAUGGCAGAUUAGCUAGUUGGUGGGGUAAAGGCCUACCAAGGCGACGAUCUGUAGCUGGUCUGAGAGGACGACCAGCCACACUGGGACUGAGACACGGCCCAGACUCCUACGGGAGGCAGCAGUGGGGAAUGUUGGACAAUGGGCGAAAGCCUGAUCCAGCAAUGCCGCGUGUGUGAUGAAGGCCUUCGGGUUGUAAAGAACUUUUGGCGGGAACGAAAAGGACUGUGCCAAUACCACGGUUCGAUGACGGUACCCGCAGAAUAAGCACCGGCUAACUACGUG